rnacentral:lncRNA from 1 species
AGGUCUUUCCUACACAAUAGCACAUUUAUACAGAUACUUUGUAGGUGUCAGACAUGGGUCAUCUCACAGUGACAAAGCUGGUGGGGCUAUAAUGCUAUGUUACUGUUCCUUAGAUCUCACCUCUUAGAGGUAACACAAAGCAGGUCAGGCAGUCUCCCCACAUGAAGCAGAACCUCAUGAGUGACACUUGUAUGCACAUAUUAGGACACAAGUCACAUCAGACCCCUUAACCAAUGUCCUACUUGUUCUACUGCCCUGAUCCAAAACAUAGGAUUAGGCUUUGGAUGAGUGUAACCUUACUGUUCUUUGCUGUGUGAUAUAUCCACAGGAACCCCAACAGUGAGGGUCUACCCUACUGGCCUGUGAUGGACCAUGAUGAGCAGUACCUGCAACUGGACAUCCAGCCUGCUGUGGGUCGAGCCCUGAAGGCUGGAAGGCUGCAGUUCUGGACCAAGACUCUGCCCCAGAAGAUCCAGGAGCUAAAGGCUUCUCAGGACAAGCACAGGGAGCUUUAGUACCCUGUAUCAAAAAAAAUGUGUUUGGGGUUUAAAGUCAAUAGCGCUACAAAUUCCAUUUAUUUAUUUUUAUUUGUUCCAACACUUACAUAAGCAUCUGUCACCUCAGUCUUUGAGCUUUCAUGUAUGAAAAAUACUCUGUAUUACUUAUCAUUCUGGCCAAACUUUCAUUAAAUUCAAUAAAUUCUCAAAU